CCAGGGAAGAAGGCAUGCUGUGGGCUCUAGCCCUACUUCUAGCCACCCUGCCUCCUGGCAGUCAAACAUCUUCCAGUUUGGAAAGGAGAAUGAUGUCAUUCAGGAGAACAACUGGGUCCACUGCAGUAAUUACUUGUGAUUUUGCUGAAGAAAGAAAUUUCAUCCACUGGUACCAACUCAAGGAGGGGAAGGCCCCACAACACCUUCUCUUCCAUGACUUUUACAAUUCCAAGAUUGUGAUGGACUCAGGACUCGAUCCAGUGAAAUACCAUGUGUAUGAAGGCACAGGCCAGAGAUAUAAAUUCACAGUGCGAAAUCUGGAAGAGAGUGAUUCUGCUGAGUAUUACUGUGCCUACUGGAAGGAUUAUUGGGAGUAUAUGUUUGGUGCUGGCACAAAGCUCAUCAUUUCAGAUAAAAGCUCUGACGCAGAAAUUUCCCCCAAGCCCACCAUUUUUCUUCCUUCAGUUGUUGAAAUAGACCGCCAUAAGGCCGGGACCCAUCUUUGUGUUCUUGAGAAUUUUUCCCCUGAUGUCAUUAAGGUAUACUGGAAAGAGAAGUAUGGUGAAAGUAUUCUGGAAUCCCAGGAGGGAGACACUAUAAAGACUGAUGACACAUACAUGAAGAUGAGCUGGCUAACYGUGACUGGAGAGUCAAUGGAUAAAGAGCACAGGUGUAUCGUCAAACACGAGAAUAAUAAAGGUGGAGUUGAUCAAGAGAUUCUCUUUCCUGCGAUAAAGAAAGGUACAUCUUGCUUUAAAGAUAUAUAUGAUGAAAUGAGGCUGCAGUUCACAUACACCUCYGCCUACUGCACCUACCUCCUUCUGCUUCUCAAGAGUGUGGUCUACUUGGCCAUYGUCACCUUCUGUCUGCUAAGAAGAACAGCUGUCUGCAGCAAUGGGAAGAGCUCCUAA